UUAGGCAUACAUUAUUAUGCUGUUCUCUGUCUCAGUGACUCAAUCUUUUUUGCUACUGAUUGAAUCCUGAUUGAUACUGGCUCUGAAAUCUCAGCUUCACUGCAGCGAUGAGGAGUUGUGCCAGUGCUUCAACUCUUGCCAAGAUGACUUCAUCUGACUUGAGAGCUGCACUGGAGCCUUCACAUGUCUGGGAAGAGUCAGAUCCAGGCUGCCUUUGAAUCACAGAGGACACCAGUUGUCUGAACCAAGCUGAGAGCAAGAUUACAUCUACACCAGUCCAAAGGUGCAUAUUGACAAAAAGGUAAUGAGCAUACACCAGUUGCCUCUCAGAAAAAUCUCAGGGGAAGCAGAGGCUUGCAG
rnacentral:lncRNA from 1 species